rnacentral:rRNA from 1 species
CCUACGGGAGGCUGCAGUGAGGAAUAUUGGUCAAUGGGCGCAAGCCUGAUCCAGCCAAGUCGCGUGAGGGAUGACGGUCCUAUGGAUUGUAAACCUCUUUUGUCGGGGAGCAAGGCCCGCCACGUGUGGCGGGAAGGAGAGUACCCGAAGAAAAAGCAUCGGCUAACUCCGUGCCAGCAGCCGCGGUAAUACGGAGGAUGCGAGCGUUAUCCGGAUUUAUUGGGUUUAAAGGGUGCGUAGGCGGAAGGUUAAGUCAGCGGUAAAAUGUCGGUGCUCAACACCGGCCUGCCGUUGAAACUGGUCUUCUUGAGUGAGCGAGAAGUAUGCGGAAUGCGUGGUGUAGCGGUGAAAUGCAUAGAUAUCACGCAGAACUCCGAUUGCGAAGGCAGCAUACCGGCGCUCAACUGACGCUGAGGCACGAAAGCGUGGGGAUCGAACAGGAUUAGAUACCCUAGUAGUC